GACGAACGCUGGCGGCGUGCCUAAUACAUGCAAGUCGAGCGAAGUUUUUCUGGUACUUGCACCGGAAAAACUUAGCGGCGAACGGGUGAGUAACACGUAAAGAACCUGCCUCAUAGACUGGGACAACUAUUGGAAACGAUAGCUAAUACCGGAUAACAGCAUUAACUGCAUGGUUGAUGUUUAAAAGUUGGUUUUGCUAACACUAUGAGAUGGCUUUGCGGUGCAUUAGCUAGUUGGUGGGGUAAAGGCCUACCAAGGCGACGAUGCAUAGCCGACCUGAGAGGGUGAUCGGCCACACUGGGACUGAGACACGGCCCAGACUCCUACGGGAGGCAGCAGUAGGGAAUCUUCCGCAAUGGGCGAAAGCCUGACGGAGCAACGCCGCGUGAGUGAAGAAGGAUUUCGGUUCGUAAAGCUCUGUUGUUAGGGAAGAAUGAUUGUGUAGUAACUAUACACAGUAGAGACG
rnacentral:rRNA from 1 species